GUCGCGCCUAGGCUGAUCCCCGAAAACACGGUUCCCUUGCCGUGCUGGCACGACCCCACAUUCGCAAGGG
rfam:Burkholderia andropogonis strain ICMP2807 contig00020, whole genome shotgun sequence.